GUGCUUGCUUUGGCAGCACGUAUACUAAAAUUGGAAUGGUACAGAGAAGAUAGCAUGGCCCCUGCACGAGGAAGACACACAAAUUCGUGAGGCGUUCCAUACUUUU